AGGAGGCGAGGGCCAUCGUGAAGCAACAGCUGUGGGCCGUCAGGGCAUCCCAGGACGUGAAGAAGCAGGGCAUGGUCCCAUUCCUUGGAGUGUUUCUGGAUGACCUGCUCGCAGACCAACUCCCGGAACAUGAUGAGGAAGUCACUAACAUCCUAUAUCAGAUCAUGAUGCACAAGCGCGUGGCCAGGCUGUAUGACCUGGAGCCCGAUGAGCGCUUCCAGUCCUUUCUCCAGACAGUGGAGCUCCUGGAUG